UUGCAUUUGCGAGCACUAAGUGCAGCGAUUUUAUAGUUAAAUUAUUGGCUCAUACGCGACAGAUCCCUUCACUCUUCCUCACAUUUCUCUCAAAAUCCUCAGCCUCCCAUCGACGACUUCUCUCUCUGCGCACACGCAAUGCGCCUUUCCGGCCUCCUGUCUCCGACGGAACAUCUGUUCCCUUCUCCUCGGUUUGAUUUCUCAAUUCUCUCUCUCAAUUGCUCUAUUUCAUGUGUUUGAUUUCCAUAUACAAUUACACACUGACACAAAUACACAGUAGCUCAUCAAAAUUGUUUUUUAAUUGUUGCUAUUUACUAUGAAUUGCUCAUUCGUCUGUUUGGAGCGCAACUGCAUUAAUCGGAAAGGUGUUCGAUCAAAGUAUAGUUUGUUGUAUGUAAUUAAACAGCAGUUCUGCGGAUCGACCUUUACCUUGAAGGACUGUGAUGGUCAUAACUCGGAUGAAAUCAAUGUGAGUUCCGAAUGAUAUAAUUGCCUCAUUCUCAUAUAAUUGUUAUUUAUAGUUUUAGUUGUUUCCUCGUAUUCUAAAGUGAUAUGAUGCGCUUGCGCAUACAGCAUUACUCUUCCGAGCAAAUUAUUUUCUGGAUCAUUGUAUGUUUUAAUUCAGGAUUAGGGAUAGAUAAAGGUAAUUAUUGCAACAUUGAUAAUUCAUUUGGAAAUUGUUUGUGGUCUUGUGGAUGAGGGAUUUGGGCUAGAAGAUAAAGAGAGCUUCAGGAUGAUGAGGAUGAGAGAGAGGAGGCAAGAAUAUGUGUGUGAUAAUGCAGAGGAAUAUGUAACUUUAGCAAGCUUAACUUUAAGAGGUUAUCUAGCACCAGACGCUGAAAAACAAUCUGAUUUUGUUUUCCAAGUGAUCAUACAUUUUGAGGAUGCAAAGCUUGAGCUAGAUGUUGAUGGCUGCAUGACCUUUUGCUGAUUAUUACUCCCUCCGUCCCACAUAAUUUGACCCAGUAUUCCAUUUUGGUCCGUCCCAAAUAAUUUGACCCAUUUCACUUUUACCAUUUUUGGUAGUGGACCUCAUAUUCCACUAACCCAUUCC